GCAUAUCAAUAAGCGGAGGAAAAGAAACCAACAGGGAUUGCCCCAGUAACGGCGAGUGAAGCGGCAAAAGCUCAAAUUUGAAAUCCUGCGGGAAUUGUAAUUUGAAGGUUUCGUGGUCUGAGUCGGCCGCGCCCAAGUCCAUUGGAACAUGGCGCCUGGGAGGGUGAGAGCCCCGUAUGGCGCACGCCGACUCUUUGCACCGCGGCUCCGACGAGUCGAGUUGUUUGGGAAUGCAGCUCUAAGUGGGUGGUAAAUUCCAUCUAAAGCUAAAUAUUGGCGAGAGACCGAUAGCGAACAAGUACAGUGAUGGAAAGAUGAAAAGCACUUUGAAAAGAGAGUGAAACAGCACGUGAAAUUGUUGAAAGGGAAGGGCUUGCAAGCAGACACGGUUUUACCGGGCCAGCGUCGAAAAGGGGGGAGGAACAAGAACUCGAGAAUGUGGCGCGCACCUUCGGGUGCGCGUGUUAUAGCUCGUGUUGACGCCUCCAUCCCUUUUCGAGGCCUGCGAUUCUAGGACGCUGGCGUAAUGGUUGCAAGCCGCCCGUCUUGAACCAACGGACCAA
rnacentral:rRNA from 1 species